GGAAGGAGAAGUCGUAACAAGGUUUUCAAUAGGUCCUUCUCGCUACCCUUUGGGUUGAGUCGCACGGAAGCCUUAGUGCCCAGAUCUUUGUUAAAGCUUGGGUGCUAGUGUCCUGCUUGUGGGAUGCGACGUCAUCAAAUUGCAGGGAUGAAAGGAAUUCGAUGGACUACCAAGCACGGGGCCUUUCGGCUUAGUGUGGCCGGGGAAAAAAUGCCUGGGUAUGGUCAUAAUGUCCAUCGUACUUCUAACCUGCAGCCAAGCCAUGGAAACCAUGUGCUGUUCACAGACUAAAUGAUGGCGGGCCAGAUUGGCUCAAGACAUAGUCGGGCGCGCUCAAGGGCGUGUUUUUUGCCUUUCCGCAAGAGUAUUCACCGUUCCGUAG
rnacentral:rRNA from 1 species